rnacentral:rRNA from 1 species
CAAUAGCGUAUAUUAAAGUUGUUGCGGUUAAAAAGUUCGUAGUUGGAUUUCUGCCAAGGACGACCGGUCCGCCCUCUGGGUGAGUAUCUGGCUUGGCCUGGGCAUCUUCUUGGAGAACGUUGCUGCACUUCACUGUGUGGCGCGGUACCCAGGACCUUUACUUUGAGGAAAUUAGAGUGUUUCAAGCAGGCUUUCGCCUUGAAUACAUUAGCAUGGAAUAAUAAGAUAGGACCUCGGUUCUAUUUUGUUGGUUUCUAGAGCUGGGGUAAUGAUUAAUAGGGAUAGUUGGGGGCAUUCGUAUUUAACUGUCAGAGGUGAAAUUCUUGGAUUUGUUAAAGACGGACUACUGCGAANGNAUUUGCNAAGGAUGUUUNCAUUG